AUUGAACGCUGGCGGCAGGCCUAACACAUGCAAGUCGAGCGAGCGGCGGACGGGUGAGUAAUGUCUGGGAAACUGCUUGUUGGAGGGGGAUAACUACUGGAAACGGUAGCUAAUACUGCAUCCCAUCAACCGUGGCCAGAUGGGAUUAGCUAGUAGGUGGGGUAACGGCCCACCUAGGCGACGGUCCCUAGCUGGUCUGAGAGGAUGACCAGCCACACUGGAACUGAGACACGGUCCAGACUCCUACGGGAGGCAGCAGUGGGGAAUAUUGCACAAUGGGCGAAAGCCUGAUGCAGCCAUGCCGCGUGUGUGAAGAAGGCCUUCGGGUUGUAAAGCACUUUAAGCGGGGAGGCGUUACCCGCAGAAGAAGCACCGGCUAACUCCGUGCCAGCAGCCGCGGUAAUAC
rnacentral:rRNA from 1 species